rnacentral:misc_RNA from 1 species
AAGUCGUAACAAGGUCUCCGUUGGUGAACCAGCGGAGGGAUCAUUACAGAGUUAUCUAACUCCCAAACCCAUGUGAACUUACCUUUGUUGCCUCGGCAGUCUGGGCGAGCCUACCCUGUAGCGAGUUACCCUGUAACGAGUUACCCUGUAGCUGCUUACCCUGUAACGACUGCCGGUGGACUACCAAACUCUUGUUAUUUUUAAGUAAUCUGAGCGUCUUAUUUUAAUAAGUCAAAACUUUCAACAACGGAUCUCUUGGUUCUG